GACGAACGCUGGCGGCGUGCUUAACACAUGCAAGUCGAGCGGUAAGGCCCUUUCGGGGGUACACGAGCGGCGAACGGGUGAGUAACACGUGGGUGACCUGCCCUCAGCUCUGGGAUAAGCCUGGGAAACCGGGUCUAAUACUGGAUAUGACUCCAUGACGCAUGUUGUGGGGUGGAAAGCCUUGUGCGGCUGGGGAUGGGCCCGCGGCCUAUCAGCUUGUUGGUGGGGUGAUGGCCUACCAAGGCGACGACGGGUAGCCGGCCUGAGAGGGCGACCGGCCACACUGGGACUGAGACACGGCCCAGACUCCUACGGGAGGCAGCAGUGGGGGAUCUUGCGCAAUGGGCGAAAGCCUGACGCAGCGACGCCGCGUGAGGGAUGACGGCCUGGU
rnacentral:rRNA from 1 species